rnacentral:lncRNA from 1 species
CUGGAAGCCCGACGGCGGGUGCUUGCCGCAGGUGAUGAGCAGGUUGAGCGCGAUGGGGAGGUAGAUGUUGAUGUUGAGCAGGCGCAAGCGGAUGGUGGUGCAGAGGCACAGCGCCGCGUCCAGGUCCGCGAUCCCCUGCACCAGCGGGCAGCACUUGGACCUUGCCUCCUGCCCGAUCACCAGGUGGAUCAGCCCGCUCAGCACGUCCACGCACGCGUUCAGCUUCAGGGUGUCGAUCGGGCACGUCCGCGACGCCGGCGGCGUCGGCGGAACGUACGGCGGCGUCGGCGGCACGUACGGCGGCACGUAGGGCGGCGACGGCGGCACGUUGGGCGGUGACGGGCGAGGCGUCGGUGGGACGUAUGGCGGCACGUAGGGCGGUGACGGGCGAGGCGUCGGCGGGACGUACGGUGGCACGUACGGCGGCGACGGCCGAGGCGUCGGGGGGACGUAUGGUGGCACGUAGGGCGGCGACGGGCGAGGCGUCGGCGGGACGUACGGUGGCACGUACGGCGGUGACGGCCGAGGCGUCGGCGGGACGUACGGUGGCACGUACGGCGGCGACGGCCGAGGCGUCGGGGGGACGUAUGGUGGCACGUAGGGCGGCGACGGGCGAGGCGUCGGCGGGACGUACGGUGGCACGUACGGCGGUGACGGCCGAGGCGUCGGAGGCACGUACGGCGGGUUGCACGGCGGGCAGUUGGACGGGGGGCCGUGGUGGCGCUUGGGCGGCUUGCCAUGGUGGGGCGGGUGGCUGUGGCC